AUUGAACGCUGGCGGCAUGCUUUACACAUGCAAGUCGAACGGCAGCGCGGGGCAACCUGGCGGCGAGUGGCGAACGGGUGAGUAAUACAUCGGAACGUACCCAGAAGUGGGGGAUAACGUAGCGAAAGUUACGCUAAUACCGCAUACGUUCUACGGAAGAAAGUGGGGGACCUUCGGGCCUCAUGCUUUUGGAGCGGCCGAUGUCUGAUUAGCUAGUUGGUAGGGUAAAGGCCUACCAAGGCGACGAUCAGUAGCUGGUCUGAGAGGACGACCAGCCACACUGGGACUGAGACACGGCCCAGACUCCUACGGGAGGCAGCAGUGGGGAAUUUUGGACAAUGGGCGCAAGCCUGAUCCAUCAAUGCCGCGUGAGUGAAGAAGGCCUUCGGGUUGUAAAGCUCUUUUGUCAGGGAAGAAACGGCUGAGGAUAAUACCUUCGGCUAAUGACGGUACCUGAAGAAUAAGCACCGGCUAACUACGUGCCAGCAGCCGCGGUAACAC
rnacentral:rRNA from 1 species